rnacentral:rRNA from 1 species
AGCGAACGCUGGCGGCAGGCCUAACACAUGCAAGUCGAACGAACUCUUCGGAGUUAGUGGCGGGCGGGGGGGCAACACGGGGGAAAGUGCCUAUAGGUCCGGCAUAACGCAGGGGAACAUGUGCUAAUACCGGAUGUGAUCUCCCGGGGGAUGAUUUAUCGCAUUUGGGGGGGCCUGGGUCCGCUUAGCAGGUUGGGGGGGUAAAGGGGUACCAAGGGGACGAUCAGUAACUGGGUUGAGAGGCAGGUCAGCCACAUUGGGGCUGGGACACGGCCCAAACUCCUGCGGGAGGCAGCAGUGGGGAAUCUUGCGCAAUGGGCGAAAUCCUGACGCAGCCAUGCCGCGUGAAUGAUGAAGGUCUGAGGAUUGUAAAAUUCUUUCACCGGUGACGAUAAUGACGGUACCCAGAGAAGAAGCCCCGGCUAACUUCGUG